rnacentral:rRNA from 1 species
UGUGACUUAUACCUUUUGUUGCCUCGGCGCUGCUGGUCUUCACAGGCCCUUUGCUUCACAGCAAAGAGACGGCACGCCGGCGGCCAAAUCAACUCUGUUUUUACACUGAAACUCUGAGAAAAAACACAAAUGAAUCAAAACUUUCAACAACGGAUCUCUUGGUUCUGGCAUCGAUGAAGAACGCAGCGAAAUGCGAUAAGUAAUGUGAAUUGCAGAAUUCAGUGAAUCAUCGAAUCUUUGAACGCACAUUGCGCCCUCUGGUAUUCCGGAGGGCAUGCCUGUUCGAGCGUCAUUUCAACCCUCAAGCAUUGCUUGGUGUUGGGGCACUGCUUUUAACGAAGCAGGCCCUGAAAUCUAGUGGCGAGCUCGCCAGGACCCCGAGCGCAGUAGUUAAACCCUCGCUCUGGAAGGCCCUGGCGGUGCCCUGCCGUUAAACCCCCAACUUUUGAAAAUUUGACCUCGGAUCAGGUAGGAAUACCCGCUGAACUUAAGCAUAUCAAUAAAGCGGAGGAAACUUG